UACGUAGGGCGCAAGCGUUGUCCGGAAUUAUUGGGCGUAAAGAGCUCGUAGGCGGCCAGUUGCGUCUGCUGUGAAAUCCCGGGGCUCAACCCCGGGCGUGCAGUGGAUACGGGCUGGCUAGAGGCAGGCAGGGGAGAACGGAAUUCCCGGUGUAGCGGUGAAAUGCGCAGAUAUCGGGAGGAACACCGGUGGCGAAGGCGGUUCUCUAGGCCUGUACUGACGCUGAGGAGCGAAAGCGUGGGGAGCAAACAGGG
rnacentral:rRNA from 1 species